GAUGAACGCUAGCGGGAGGCUUAACACAUGCAAGUCGAGGGGCAGCACGUCUUCGGAUGGUGGCGACCGGCGCACGGGUGCGUAACGCGUAUGCAACUUACCCUUAACAGGAGAAUAGCCCAGAGAAAUUUGGAUUAAUACUCCAUAGUAUUACGGAUUCGCAUGUUUCUGUAAUUAAAGUUCCAACGGUUAAGGAUAGGCAUGCGUGACAUUAGCUUGUUGGUGAGGUAACGGCUCACCAAGGCAACGAUGUCUAGGGGUUCUGAGAGGAUGACCCCCCACACUGGUACUGAGACACGGACCAGACUCCUACGGGAGGCAGCAGUGAGGAAUAUUGGACAAUGGAGGAAACUCUGAUCCAGCCAUCCCGCGUGCAGGAAGACGGCCCUAUGGGUUGUAAACUGCUUUUUAUACAGGAAUAAACCCCCUCUACGUGUAGAGGGUUUGAAGGUACUGUAAGAAUAAGCACCGGCUAACUCCGUGCCAGCAGCCGCGGUAAUGUCAGUG
rnacentral:rRNA from 1 species